UACGUAGGUGGCAAGCGUUGUCCGGAUUUAUUGGGUUUAAAGGGUGCGUAGGCGGCUCUCUAAGUCGGAUGUGAAAACUCUGGGCUCAACCCAGAGCCUGCAUCCGAAACUGGAGGGCUAGGGUUCUGGAGGGGAAAGCGGAAUUCCUGGUGUAGCGGUGAAAUGCGUAGAUAUCAGGAGGAACACCGGUGGCGAAGGCGGCUUUCUGGACAGAUACCGACGCUGAGGCACGAAAGCUAGGGGAGCAAACAGG
rnacentral:rRNA from 1 species